rnacentral:piRNA from 1 species
GAAUUAACCGAUGUGAAUACCUGAAAUU